AUGUUUUCCUUCGAAAAGGAUGAUACCAUGAUAUGAAUUUCGUGUAUUUGUGCCUUGCAUAUUAAGUCUAAGUUAUAAGAAACAUACAAACAAGUUAACGUAUCUGACGAGUUCUGUGUAUAUUUUAAAAAAAUCGGAUUUUAGGCAAAACUUAAAAAAAAACGUGUUGAUGUUGUAGGUUGAAGCAAUUUGAUGUUUGAGCCAAUGUUCAAAACCUUAACAAAAUGUUAAGGUUUUAGCACGACGCGGACGGCGGACGACGGACGGCGGAAGACGAGCUGGCUAUGACAAUACCUCGGGUUUUCUCCGAAAACGCCGAGCUAAAAAUGGCGAUAUAAAGACUCUCGUCAUUUAUUUCUAAGAACACGUUUAUUUAAGGGCGUAACUAGACACCCUGGAUUUGAAAAGAAGUCGCAAUACCACUCUGGAUUUUGAAGGGAUGUGACAAGAUUUCACUUGAUUGUGAAAAAAUGUUACUAGACCCCUUGAAUUAGAAGAGAAGUCGCAAGACCACCUUGGAUUUGAAGUGGUUUCACUAGAACACCAUGGAUUUUGAAUGAAUGACACUAAACGACCCUGGAUUUUGAAGGGAUGUCACUUGACCACACUGGAUUUUGAAGGAAUAUCAUUUGAACGGAUGUCAGCAACAAUACGCCUUUAUGGCCUGGAGACCAUGUAGUAGUAUUUCAUUUUGAUAUGUAACAUCAGAUAGUGUUAAAUUGGUAUAAUAAGUGUCUGGGGUCACACCUAACAACCUCCGUGUGAGAGGGACAUUCAUAUUCAUACUUUCAUGGCAAUAAAUGUUCAAAUUA